rnacentral:rRNA from 1 species
UACGGGGGGGGGCAAGCGUUGUUCGGAAUUACUGGGCGUAAAGGGCUCGUAGGUGGCCAACUAAGUCAGACGUGAAAUCCCUCGGCUUAACCGGGGAACUGCGUCUGAUACUGGAUGGCUAGAGGUUGGGAGAGGGAUGCGGAAUUCCAGGUGUAGCGGUGAAAUGCGUAGAUAUCUGGAGGAACACCGGUGGCGAAGGCGGCAUCCUGGACCAAUUCUGACGCUGAGGAGCGAAAGCCAGGGGAGCAAACGGG